rnacentral:rRNA from 1 species
UACGUAGGGGGCGAGCGUUGUCCGGAAUCAUUGGGCGUAAAGCGCGUGUAGGCGGCCCGGUAAGUCCGCUGUGAAAGUCCAGGGCUCAACCCUGGGAUGCCGGUGGAUACUGUCGGGCUCGAGUCCGGAAGAGGCGAGUGGAAUUCCUGGUGUAGCGGUGAAAUGCGCAGAUAUCAGGAGGAACACCAAUGGCGAAGGCAGCUCGCUGGAACGGUACUGACGCUGAGGCGCGAAAGCGUGGGGAGCGAGCAGG